rnacentral:lncRNA from 1 species
AAUCCUUGUUACUUGUUCCUUUGGUAUCCAAACAUAUAAUCCUUUUGGAACAACUACAUUUCUGUAAUAGCAAUUUCUAACAGUAUGACCAACACAAUUACAAUAGAAACAUGCAUUUCUAGAAGGUUUACUUAAAUCAGUAAAUUUCCUAGCAUUGGUUCUGUUAGAUUGAGCUUUGUAGCCUAUACCUUGCUUACUAAUAACUCUACUGUUGAGUCACUGGCAAGUGUACCAGAUCGUAUGCAAGUAAUAAUAAAACGGUAAGUCCGAGUAUCGUUUUCCCAAAGGACUCACAAGGCCUUAUCUUUCGUGUGAACGGAAAUCUUAAGACUUGUAGAAAUAAAACUUAAAAUUGGUUUAUGCAAAACACAAAAUAAACAUGCAAUGCGUUGAUUCAAUUGACGAGAGAAACUAUGGAUGAAUGGAGUUGCUAGGGUUUACAAUUUCACCUUUUUCCGCUCUCUUAUAUCUACUCGCCUUAUUUAAUUCGCUUGAUUAUUCAAUUACCAUGCAACUUUCUUAGCCUACCCUUAACCCAAUCCCUUGGCGAAAAGAGCCUAUUAAAGAUUACCGGCUUGCUAUCCUUAGCCUCCCCUAGUAACCGAUAAUGCAUUAUAAACAGAAGUGACAAACAAUUGAUUGUUCAACCCUCCUAUCCCUAAGUUGUAUACAUAAAUCAAGGAUUAUUCCCGAGAUCAUGACAUUACUGUACGUUCCCCUAUCAAUAAAGACAAACAACAGUUAUCGAAUGAGUUAAACGAUAAAAGCAUUAAGUGUAGAAGGAAAACCCAAUAAUUGAUAAUCAAAGCAUAUGCAAGCAUAUAGAUAAAUAAGAGUUUCAAUACAAGAGAGUUUCAAAAGAUUACAUUGUUCCCUAACAACAAGAGGGUUUAGUUCACCAUAGACAUGGUGAACCUAGAUGAAUAAUGGAAGAAGAAUGGAAAAGCAAACCCUAAAAGAGAUGAAAAGGUGCAAAAGCAUCCAAGAGCUCCUCUCCAGGGAGAGCAAAUUAGGUAUGGUCGUCCUCCUCGUCAAAAGAAUGAGUGAAACUUCGUAAAUAGUCUAUUUAUAACUGAGGAGAAUCACAGAAAACAGGCCCAGGCCCAAUUAGAAACCGCCCGGCGCCACACUUACACUGCCUGGCAGUUUCCCCCUUUGUCGCGCCACUGCCCGGCGUCAGGGGUCCACCGCCCGGCGGUUUGCCUCGUACCGCAAACCCGCCCGGCGUCCUAUUUUGGUACCAGUUCCAUGCGCUUGACCGCCCAGCGGCAGGGGUCUACCAUCCGACGGUCUUUCGACUCUUAUUUUCUUCAUUUUUUUCUCAAAUCUUGAGUCUCUGACGUUUACUUUUAGCUCCAAUCUUCACUUUCCUCAAAAACGCUGCAAAACAAGCAUAAUAUCGCUAAAAACGACUUUUGACUCUCACUUGACUCAUUUAUUGAAUUAUGCAUGAUUCUAAGCUCAUUCUAAGCCUUAAAGGGUGUAAUCUGGUAUGAAUUGACAUAUGAAAAUAGUUGUUUUUAAACCUUUAUCUCAACCCCAAACUUAGAAUUUUGCUUGUCCUCAAGCAAACCAAACAAAACAAGACACAAAACAAAACUUGGCUUUCUACUUUUUCGUCCAAUAGUUCAACAUUCCUAACAUGCAUGACAAAAACUUCUCAAAUCAAGAUGCAAACAUGUUUUCAAUUCAGUUUAGUUUCCAACAGAUGUUAAACAUUAUGAAUGACCAAUCCACCAAUCACAAAUGCAAUCAUGAAAUCAUCAAUUCUCACUAGGCAAGUGUUUUCACUCAAUCACUCAAGUGUUUAGGGUGACACUCCAACUCUCUAUCAUUCACAAGUCACAUAAAGAACCGUUGCCAUUCAUCUACAACAAUCAAAAUCUUUACAUGCAAAUGCCAUCAAAAGGACUUUUAAAAGGCUUGUAAUGAGGCUGGGCUAACAAGAAACAUGGUUUUUCUAGGAUUCAAAAUUCUUGAGUUAAGAGAGCUAAAACAUUUACAAUCAAGCACAACUCUUCUCCUCACCAAUUUCUCUUAUUUCCCAACUUCUUCCUUUUCUUUUCUUUUUCAUUGAGCUUUUUCUCAUGCUUUUUAUUCUUUACUUUCCUUUUUCUCAUGCAUAUUUCUCUUUCAAUUCUUUUGAGCUCAAUACUUUGCACUUGCUUUUUCAAAUUUCCUCUCUGCCACCCCAAACUUGAACCUUUGUAUCAAUUAUAUUUAAGCUCAACCCAACUCAAGAUAAAGAAUACAAAAUAAGGGUUCACAUAUUGUUUAAGGCUAAGGUUCAAAAAGGGUAUAACAAUUAAGCACUGAGGGUGAAAAUUUGGCCAGAAAAGGGCUAUCAAAGAUGGCCUUAAUCAUAUGACCUUCACAUGCAAUUCAAUCAAUCAUUAAGACUUAGGCAAUAUCAUUCAUGCUUCCCUGUAAACAAUACAUACACAAUGAAAAACUCUGGAGCCCAAUUCCUCACACAUGCUUUCUCACACAAUAAUCAUUCAUACAUCCUGCUUAGCAUCAUAAUCACAAUCAUAAUUUCUCACACAUCUGUUUCUCAAAUUUUUAGCAUGCAUCACAGCUCAAUUUUUCAACCACAUCAGAUCAUCAUCAAACAGUUUCAUCACGUAGUUAUUCAGUCAAACAUCUUCAGAAAAGUAUACAAGCCAAGCAGACACAAAAUAAAAUUCAACUUAUUCUAGGAAUUCAAAAGUGCGAAAUUUAAAAGACAAAACAAGUAAAUCUGGAUUGCCUCCCAAUAGCACUUGUUUAACGUCACGAGCCUGACCCAAACCUGUUUAGCACUUGUCAAUAAGCGCUUUAGCCUUCCAACACCCUUCAGUAGGUGUACCUCCCUGUAUCCUUUAGUAGAUACAAUAAAUCUUUUAGCUUUCCUUAGUAGAAGCUACCCUGUAUCCUUCAGUAGAUACAAUAAAUCUAGCAUCCCUCAAUAGAUGCCUCCUUGUAUCCUUCAGUAGAUACAAUAAAAAUAAAUCUAGCAUCCCUCAGUAGAUGUUAUCCAAAAAGUAUUCAAAAUACCAAAAAUUACAAGUUCAACAAAAAUUAAAAUAAACAAAUGUUUUAAUGUACAAAAAUAUUUUCUCCAGCAAUUCAGCUUUUCUUCUUCACACCAGGAUCUUCAUCAUCCCAUGGACUUAACUUUCUAAUAUCCACUUUCCGGAUUGUUGUGGAACAUGGCCUUUGGAUUUCCACCACUCCUUUGUCUUGAAGCUUUCUGUUGACAAUCCACUUCCUGUUUUUGAAUUUCACUGCCAUACCACGCAAGAAUAUUGUGUCUCUAGAACUAGUAGAUUCUUCUUUAUGGGUCUUCUUCUCUUCAGACAACUACAAAACAUGACAAUUGUUAAAAUGAUUACUACCUUUAGUGUUCUCCCCUUUCGGAUCUCCACUUUUACCUCUUUUAUAUUUGGCUCUCUCUCUUAUUCUUAUUUUGUGUCUAACAAAGCCAAUAUAAUUGAGCACUCGAUAUUGAUCUCUUAGCAUUAUUCUUCCAUCAUGGGCACGCAUCACCAUCUUGGAAGUCCUCAUGAAAGGUCUUCCUAGUAUUAAUGGAAUUCUUCCUUCAUUAACCAUAUCCACAACUAAGAAGUCAAUCAAGAACUCCAAUUUUUCAAUACGAACAAUUGCAUCCUCCACUACACCAACCGACUUCUUAAUUAAACCAUCUGCAAUUGUCAAAGUGGUGUUGGCUGGUUUUAAUGUUAAACCGCCAAUUUUCUUAAAAUCACCCAAGGACAUCAAAUUAACACUAGACCCUGAAUCAAUCAUAGCUCUCCCAACAUCCACAUUAUUGAUAACACAAGGGAGAGUUAGAUUACCCAAAUCUUAUAAUUUUUGAGGAUGUUCUUUUUUUCUUGGUUCAAUCAAACUUAUCUCUUCUUCUUCCUCCAGAUCAAUUGGCUCUCCCAAGUAGUAUUUACUCCUAUCAGAAUAAGAAGGGGUAGGAGAUAUUAUAGGCUUAUCAAUUACCGGAUUAAAAUCUUCUUUAAACGGCUCCUGGUAACUUUUCUCCUAUUUCUCCUCUUUCUAUACUCCAUCUUUAUUGCCUAUCUGCUCUUUAUCAUCAUCAGCAUUCAUCAACUCAUCAUCUUCGUCAUCACUACUAUCAUUUAUGAUUACUUCCCUUUCUACCUUCCUUUUCCCUCUUGACAGAACCACUUUGCAUUCAUCCUUGGGGUUAACAUUAGUAUUAGCCCGAAACUGAUUUUUCUCAGUGGUCUCCACCCUUUUAGACAGUUGCCCAAUUUGAGUCUCCUAUGUUCUAAAACUAGCUUGAUCACUAGCUUGCUGAGACUCGUAGACUUUCAGAAAAUUAUCAAAUCGGCUAUUUAAAUCUCUAACAAUCUCUGUCAAACUAUUCACUUGCUGCCAUAAGGAUGGUGUUUGCUGCUGCCGGAAGCCUCCUACUUGUCCAUGGAAUUUAUUCUGAAUUUGGCCAAUAUUGGUUUGGUUCUUCCAACCUUGGCUAGAGUUGCCUUGGUUGAAACUUCCUUGCUUGUAUUGAAACUGAUUGCCCAUAUAAUUAACCUCAUGCUCCAUCUCUUCUAGGAAGGCACAUUGACCAUUGAUAUGGUCACCACCACAUAACUCACACAACUGUUGAGCUUGAGCAACAUUCCUUACUCCCCUAGGAAACUCAGAAAGGAACUUAGUUAAUUUGUCCAAUUUCUGUGAAAGAAGAUGAGUGUGAGCAGCUACAGCAUCUUCAACAGGGAGUUGUAAGAGUCCUCCUUUUUGUACGCCUCUCUCUCCUUGUGUUACUUCAUUCAUUGCCACCUCUUCAAUCAAUUCAUAGGCUUCAUCCUCAGUUUUUCUGUUUAUACUGCCUCCAGCUGAGGCAUCUAGCAUCAUCUUCGACUGAGUGCACAAACCUCCAAGAAAAGCAAGCAAAUAUGUGGUCUUGUUUAGACCAUGGACUAGAGUCUUUCUCAAAAGCCCUUUGAAUCUAUCCCAUGCCUGACCAAGUGUUUCUUCCAUUCCUUGCUUGAAAGAAGAGAUCUCUAAAUGCCCUUGGUUGACCUUGGUCUGCGGGAAAAAUUUUAUGACAAAUUGUUUUACCACUGCCUACCAAUCUCUGAAUGUGCCUGCUGGGAACGAAUACAACCAUUCUUUUGCAUGUCCUCCAAGUGAGAACGGAAACAAGCUGAGUUUGACCCUGCCCUCUGAAACUCCGUUAACCUUAACGGUGUUGCAAAUCUCCUCAAAGACAGUCAAAUGAGUAUAAGGGUUCUCAUUCGACAUUCCAUGGAAUUGAUUGCUCUGUACAAGCUGAAUCGGUGCAGGGCUCAUCACCAUAUUUGUUGCAUUUUCCGUGGACAAAGCUAUGUUGUUGAAGUGUAAGGGGCCCACAAUGUUGGCGGAGUCCCCAAGUGUGCGUCUAGGAGGAGGUUGAUCUGUCAUCUCCUCUGUACUCUGUGCAAAGGUUCGCUCCAAAGAAAGUCUAGCAGGAGAAGGAAAUAUUUCACGUUCAGAGUGUCUGCCUUUCCUCCUUCUCCUGUCUGAAAGUCCCUCAAAAAGAGGUUGCUUGUCUUUUCUGCUUCUUGUCUGUCUUAUCUCCUGCAUACACAAGAGAAAAACCCUAAAAGCACUUUUACAGAAAACAAAAAUAAACAAAAACAAAACAAGUCAAAGUCAGUCAAUUCACACUACUAAAUAAGUUAAACCACGAGUCCCCGGCAACGGCGCCAGAAACUUGUUGAGUCACUGGCAAGUGUACCAGAUCGUAUGCAAGUAAUAAUAAAACGGUAAGUCCGAGUAUCAUUUUUCCAAAGGACUCACAAGGCCUUAUCUUUCGUGUGAACAGAAAUCUUAAGACUUGUAGAAAUAAAACUUAAAAGUGGUUUAUGCAAAACACAAAAUAAACAUGCAAUGCGUUGAUUCAAUUGACGAGAGAAACUAUGGAUUAAUGGAGUUGCUAGGGUUUAUAAUUUCACCUUUUUCCGCUCUCUUAUAUCUACUCCCCUUAUUUAAUUCGCUUGAUUAUUCAAUUACCAUGCAACUUUCUUAGCCUACCCUUAACCUAAUCCCUUGGCAAAAAGAGCCUAUUAAAGAUUAUCGGCUUGCUAUCCCUAGCCUCCCAUAGUAACCGAUAAUGCAUUAUAAACAGAAGUGACAAACAAUUGAUUGUUCAAACCCCUUAUCCCUAGGUGGUAUACAUAAAUCAAGGAUUAUU